GACGAACGCUGGCGGCGUGCUUAACACAUGCAAGUCGAACGGAAAGGCCUGCUUUCCCUUGUGGAUUGCGGGUACUCGAGUGGCGAACGGGUGAGUAACACGUGAGUGAUCUGCCCCCAACUUGGGUAUAAGCCUGGGAAACUGGGUCUAAUUCCCGAUAGGACUGCAGGGUGGUGCCUGUGGUGGAAAACGAUUUUCUAGUGGUUGGGGAUGAGCUCGCGGCCUAUCAGCUUGUUGGUGGGGUAAUGGCCUACCAAGGCGGCGACGGGUAGCCGGCCUGGGAGGGUGGACGGCCACAUUGGGACUGAGAUACGGCCCAGACUCCUACGGGAGGCAGCAGUGGGGAAUAUUGCACAAUGGGCGGAAGCCUGAUGCAGCGACGCCGCGUGGGGGAUGACGGCCUUCGGGUUGUAAACUCCUUUCGACCGCGAGGAAGCCACCUGGUUGGAAGGGUGGUGACGGUAGUGGUAGAUGAAGCACCGGCUAACUACGUG
rnacentral:rRNA from 1 species